AUUGAACGCUGCGGCAUGCCUUACACAUGCAAGUCGAACGGCGAGCACGGGGCAACCUGGUGGCGAGUGGCGAACGGGUGAGUAAUACAUCGGAACGUGCCCAAUCGUGGGGGAGUAACGUAGCGAAAGUUACGCUAAUACCGCAUACGAUCUACGGAUGAAAGCGGGGGAUCGCAAGACCUCGCGCUAUUGGAGCGGCCGAUAUCAGAUUAGGUAGUUGGUGGGGUAAAGGCCUACCAAGCCGACGAUCUGUAGCUGGUCUGAGAGGACGACCAGCCACACUGGGACUGAGACACGGCCCAGACUCCUACGGGAGGCAGCAGUGGGGAAUUUUGGACAAUGGGCGCAAGCCUGAUCCAGCCAUGCCGCGUGCGGGAAGAAGGCCUUCGGGUUGUAAACCGCUUUUGUCAGGGAAGAAAUCUUCUGGGUUAAUACCUCGGGAGGAUGACGGUACCUGAAGAAUAAGCACCGGCUAACUACGUG
rnacentral:rRNA from 1 species